UACGAAGGGGGCUAGCGUUGCUCGGAAUCACUGGGCGUAAAGGGUGCGUAGGCGGGUCUUUUAAGUCAGGGGUGAAAUCCUGGAGCUCAACUCCAGAACUGCCUUUGAUACUGAGGAUCUUGAGUUCGGGAGAGGUGAGUGGAACUGCGAGUGUAGAGGUGAAAUUCGUAGAUAUUCGCAGGAACACCAGUGGCGAAGGCGGCUCACUGGUCCAUUACUGACGCUGAGGUGCGAAAGCGUGGGGAGCAAACAGGG
rnacentral:rRNA from 1 species